rnacentral:rRNA from 1 species
AUACGUAGGGGGCAAGCGUUGUCCGGAUUUAUUGGGCGUAAAGGGCGCGCAGGCGGCCUUUUAAGUCAGUUGUGAAAGGUCUCGGCUCAACCGAGGAGUUGCAGCUGAAACUGGAAGGCUUGAGUGCAGGAGAGGAGAGCGGAAUUCUCGGUGUAGCGGUGGAAUGCGUAGAGAUCGGGAGGAACACCAGUGGCGAAGGCGGCUCUCUGGCCUGUAACUGACGCUGAGGCGCGAAAGCGUGGGGAGCAAACAGGAUUAGAUACCCUGGUAGUCCACGCCGUAAACGAUGAGUGCUAGGUGUUGGGGGCUUUUAUGCCCUCAGUGCCGAAGGAAACCCAAUAAGCACUCCGCCUGGGGAGUACGGCCGCAAGGCUGAA